GAUGAAGAACGUAGCGAAAUGCGAUAAGUAGUGUGAAUUGCAGAAUUCAGUGAAUCAUCGAAUCUUUGAACGCACAUUGCGCCCCUUGGUAUCCCAAGGGGCAUGCCUGUUCGAGCGUCAUUUCACCACUCAAGCCUGGCUUGGUGUUGGGCGACGUCCUCUUUGGGGACGCGCCUCGAAACGCUCGGCGGCGUGGCACCGGCUUUAAGCGUAGCAGAAUCUUUCGCUUUGGAAGUCGGGGCCCCGUCUGCCGGAAGACCUGCUCGCAAGGUUGACCUCGGAUCAGGCAGGGAUACCCGCUGAACUUAAGCAUAUCAAUAAGCGGAGGA
rnacentral:misc_RNA from 1 species